AAGCUGUACAGUUGCUGAUCUAGAAGCAUUAGGCAAGAGUGUCUGAGAACGAUGAGAGAACUCCCAUUAAUGGGAAUCAAAAGGAAACCCUGAAAUCAUGUUUUAAGGAUUGAAUGACACGAGUUGGUUCAGAAUUAAUACCAAGAGCUGCAUCAGCUACUGGUUUGGACACCAGUGUCGUAGAAAUAAGAACUGGAUUGGUAAUUACAAAAGAUCACAAAUGACUAAUGCUUCGUCUGAGCCCCGGUCAUCAAAGGCCAAAGUUCACAUUAGAGAGCUGUCGCAUUACAAUCUUUUUUAUAGGGACAUAUUCAAAAACAAAGGCACAAUGAAUGAUAUUAAGGGCAGGUGCGCCACAUUGGGGGAAGAUGCAAAGCAAAAAUACAUUCAAGAGGCAGCAGCACUGAGGGCACAUGAGAUGGAGGCAAUUUGUGCUGUGUCUGCUGCGUCCAUUUUGAUGAUAAGAAGAAGAAUGCAAGAAAGAAGUGGCGUUCAUGGUCUCAGUGCACAGUGUGCCAAUCAUGGUCACACACAG